rnacentral:RNase_P_RNA from 1 species
CGAGCUGGCCAGGCAAUCGCUCGCGGGUUUCCCGCGGGAGGAAAGUCCGGGCUCCGGCGGGCAGGGUGCCAGGUAACGCCUGGGAGGCGCGAGCCUACGGAAAGUGCCACAGAAAAUAACCGCCCAAGGGCACCGGACAUAAGCCGGCGCCACGGCAAGGGUGAAAAGGUGCGGUAAGAGCGCACCGCGCGGGUGGUAACACUUCGCGGCAUCGGUAAACCCCACCCGGAGCAAGACCAAAUAGGGAAGCAGCGUCCCGCAAGGGAGGCACCGUCGCCCCGCGGGCUUCCGGGUAGGUUGCUUGAGGCUGCUGGUGACAGCAGUCCCAGAGGAAUGAUUGCCCACGACAGAACCCGGCUUAUCGGCCGGCUCGCACC